AAUAGCUCACUAGUCGAGAGACUCUGUGCCGAUAAUUCAACGGGACUAAAACACAAUACCGAAGCUACGGGCAUGAAAAUGCGUUAGGAGAGCGUUGUAAGGGCAUUGAAGCCAGACUGUGAAGACUGGUGGAGCGCUUACAAGUGAGAAUGCCGGUAUGAGUAACGAUUCAGAGUGAGAAUCUCUGACGCCUAUUGGGGAAGGUUUCCUGGGCAAGGUUCGUCCACCCAGGGUUAGUCGGGUCCUAAGACGAGGCCGAAAGGCGUAGCCGAUGGACAACAGGUGAAUAUUCCUGUACUUUCUAUAAAUGUGAUGGAGUGACGGGGGAGGAUAGCACUACCACUUAUUGGAUUGUGGGGUAAAUAGUGACUGGGUUAUGUAGGCAAAUCCGCAUAACUUAACCGGGAGCUAUGAUGCAUAGUGAAAGGGCAACUAAGUAGCGAAUUGGAUGAUUCCAUACCUCUUAAAAAAGCUUCUAACAUAUAGUUUAUGGAAACCCGUACCGAGAACGGACACACGUCCCCAAGAUGAGUAUUCUAAGGCGAGCGAGAAAACCAAUGUCAAGGAACUCUGCAAAUUCAUCCCGUAAGUUCGCAAGAAGGGAUGCCCACCCUAAAAAGUGGGCCGCAGUGAAUAGUAAGGGGGAACUGUUUAUCAAAAACACAGCUCUAUGCUAAGUCGUAAGACGAUGUAUAUGGGGUGACUCCUGCCCAGUGCCCGAAGGUUAA
rnacentral:rRNA from 1 species